GUGACCGCACAAAAUAGAAGA
rnacentral:miRNA from 1 species